UAAAGGAAGCGAUUCCGGCUACGGAUGGUCAUGCGUCGCAUUAGCUAGUUGGCGGGGUAACGGCCCACCAAGGCGACGAUGCGUAGGGGUUCUGAGAGGAAGGUCCCCUACACUGGUACUGAGACACGGACCAGACUCCUACGGGAGGCAGCAGUGAGGAAUAUUGGUCAAUGGCCGCAGGGCUGAACCAGCCAAGUCGCGUGAGGGAUGACGGUCCUAUGGAUUGUAAACCUCUUUUGUCAGGGAGCAAAGGGCGCCACGUGUGGCGCUUUGCGAGUACCUGAAGAAAAAGCAUCGGCUAACUCCGUGCCAGCAGCCGCGGUAAUACGGAGGAUGCGAGCGUUAUCCGGAUUUAUUGGGUUUAAAGGGUGCGCAGGCGGAAUGUCAAGUCAGCGGUAAAAUUUCGGGGCUCAACCCCGUCGUGCCGUUGAAACUGGCGUUCUUGAGUGAGCGAGAAGUAUGCGGAAUGCGUGGUGUAGCGGUGAAAUGCAUAGAUAUCACGCAGAACUCCGAUUGCGAAGGCAGCAUACCGGCGCUCAACUGACGCUCAUGCACGAAAGCGUGGGUAUCGAACAGGAUUAGAUACCCUGGUAGUCCACGCAGUAAACGAUGAAUACUAACUGUCCGGGCAGAAUGAUGCCUGG
rnacentral:rRNA from 1 species